rnacentral:rRNA from 1 species
CACUUCGGUGAGUGCAUAAAGUGGCGUACGGGAGAGUAACACGUAAGUAAUCUACCCUCGGGUGGGGAAUAACUUAAGGAAACUUAAGCUAAUACCGCAUAAUGCAGCGGCUCCGUAAGGAGACAGUUGUUAAAGCAUUUAUGCGCCUGGGGAGGAGCUUGCGGCAGAUUAGCUAGUUGGUAAGGUAACGGCUUACCAAGGCAACGAUCUGUAGCCGGUCUAAGAGGACGGUCGGUCUCACUGACACUGAAUAACGGGUCAGACUCCUACGGGAGGCAGCAGUCGGGAAUUUUGGGCAAUGGGCGAAAGCCUGACCCAGCAACGCCGCGUGAAGGAUGAAGUCUUUCGGGAUGUAAACUUCGGAAAUAUGGGAAGAAUAAAUGACGGUACCAUAUCUAAGGUCCGGCUAACUACGUGCCAGCAGCCGCGGUAAUACGUAGGGACCAAGCGUUGUUCGGAUUUACUGGGCGUAAAGGGUGCGUAGGCGGCGCCGCAAGUCAAUUGUGAAAUCUCCGGGCUUAACUCGGAACGGCCAAUUGAUACUGCAGUGCUAGAGUGCAGAAUGGGCAAGUGGAAUUCUUGGUGUAGCGGUGAAAUGCGUAGAUAUCAAGAGGAACACCUGAGGCGAAGGCGACUUGCUGGGCUGACACUGACGCUGAGGCACGAAAGCCAGGGGAGCGAACGGGAUUAGAUACCCCGGUAGUCCUGGCCCUAAACGAUGAAUGCUUGGUGUCUGGAGUUUUAAUUCUCUGGGUGCCGUCGUUAACGCUUUUAGCAUUCCGCCUGGGGAGUACGCUCG